AGAUUGUAGAGUCUAGAAUAAAAGUCUCUAAAGGCAUUUAGAAUGUCCGGGAGUAUGUGAGUCGUGUCUCCCGAUUCUGUUUUAAUUUUCGGAAUAAACGUGGUUUGUCUCGAGGCCUGUAGCAUCUUGGCUAAAAGGCGGCCGCAUUUGCCACUGUUGGCGUAGUAAUUGUGUUUGGAGAGGGAGAGUUUACGUUUGAUGUGGACGUUGAGGAGUUGUUGUAGG